ensembl:misc_RNA Metazoa_SRP Metazoan signal recognition particle RNA
GCCGGGCGCGGUGGCUCACGCCUGUAAUCCCAGCACUUUGGGAGGCCGAGGUGGGCGGAUCACCUGAGGUCAGGAGUUCAAGACCAGCCUGGCCAACAUGGUGAAACCCCGUCUCUA